rfam:Vulgatibacter incomptus strain DSM 27710, complete genome.
GGAGGGGUACCCAAGCGGCCAAAGGGAGCAGACUGUAAAUCUGCCGGCAACAGCCUACGAAGGUUCGAAUCCUUCCCCCUCCA